rnacentral:rRNA from 1 species
UUUGACGUUACCUACAGAAGAAGCACCGGCUAACUCCGUGCCAGCAGCCGCGGUAAUACGGAGGGUGCGAGCGUUAAUCGGAAUUACUGGGCGUAAAGCGCAUGCAGGCGGCCUGUUAAGUCAGAUGUGAAAGCCCGGGGCGUUAACCUCGGAAUUGCAUUUGAAACUGGCAGGCUAGAGUCUUGUAGAGGGGGGUAGGAAUUUCAGGUGUAGCGGUGAAAUGCGUAGAGAUCUGAAGGAAUACCAGUGGCGAAGGCGGCCCCCUCGGACAAAGACUGACGCUCAGAUGCGAAAGCGUGGGGAGCAAACAGGAUUAGAUACCCUGGUAG